rnacentral:rRNA from 1 species
AUCAGUACUAGGAUGGGUGACCUCCUGGGAAGUCCUCGUGUUGCACCCCU